AUGCAGCAGGCGAUGUCCUUGCCCCCGGGAGCGGUCGGCGCGGUGUCCCCGCCGGCCGGCAUCACCACCGAGCAGAUCCAAAAGUAUUUGGAUGAAAAUAAGCAACUUAUUUUGGCCAUCCUUGAAAAUCAGAACCUAGGAAAGUUGGCUGAAUGUGCUCAAUAUCAAGCUCAGCUCCAAAAGAAUCUCUUGUAUCUAGCUGCUAUCGCGGAUGCCCAACCACCACAGAACCCUGCAAGUCGCCCCCAGAUGGUGCAGCAGCCUGGUAGUAUGCAAGGUGCAGGGCAUUACAUGUCACAAGUACCAAUGUUCCCUCCAAGAACGCCUUUAACCCCACAGCAGAUGCAAGAGCAGCAGCAAGCCCAGGCCCUUUCUUUCCCCGCCCAGAUGGUCAUGAGACCAGGCACCAUCAACGGCAUGCAGCUGCCUAUGCAAGCAGCCGGCGACCUCCAGCCAGCAGCAGCACCUGGAGGUAGCAAGCAGGACGCCGUAGUGGCUGGGGCCAGCUCGGAACCAUCUGGCACCGAGAGCCACAAGAAGGCGGGAGCAGAAAAGGAGGUGAGCGCUGAUGUAGCAGAACAAUCCUAA
rnacentral:rRNA from 1 species